ensembl:lncRNA
AUGGGCGUUUCCAGCACGAAAGAGACCCCAGAACGGGAAUUUUCACCCCAAAAUUCGGGAUUUUUUAGCCCAAAAUCCACCCCGAAACCGGCCAAGGUCACCCCAAAAUCCACCCGGAAAUGGGAAUUUUUUUUAACCCCGAAAUUGGGAAUUUUCGCCCCAAAUUCCACCCCAAAACCUGGGAAGGUUCACCCCGAAACUCCUCCCCGAAAUUGGGAAUUUUCGACCCAAAAUCCACCCCCAAACUGGGAAAAGUCACCCCAAAAUCCACCCCGAAAUUGGGAAUUUUCACUCCAAACUCCGCCCCAAAAGUGGGAAUUUUUAACCCAAAAUCCACCCCGAAACUGGGAAUUUUUAACCCAAAAUCCACCCCAAAACUGGGAAUUUUCACCCCAAAAUCCACCCCAAAACUGGGAAUUUUCACCCCAAAAUGGGAAUUUUCACCUCCAGAAUCUGCCCCCAAAUCCACCCCCAAAACUCGGCCUUUUCACCCCAAAACCCAACCCCGAAUUUCCACAUUUUCACCCCGAAAAGGACAUUUUUGACCCAAAAAAUGACAUUUUUUACCCCAAAAUCCGCCCUCAGAGCGGGCGUUUCCAUCCCAAAAUCCACCUGCAACCUGAGCGUUUUCACCCUAAAAACAACCCCCAAACCGGCCGUUUUCACCCCAAAUUGUGCCCCAAAAUCUGCCCCAAAAUUGGCAUUUUUCACCCCAAAAUCCACCCCCAAACCGGCCGUUUUCACCCCAAAUUGUGCCCUAAAAUCCAACCCAAAAUUGGCGUUUUUCGCCCCAAAAUCCACCCCCAAACUGGGCAAUUUUCACCCCAAAACUGAGAAUUUCCUCAUUCAAAUCCAUCCCAAAACUUCACAUUUUAACCUCAAAAAUUCCAAACUUUUAACCCCAAAAUCCACCCGAAAAUUCCAAAUUCCGACCCCAAAACCCUCCCCAAAAAUGGGAAUUUUUAACCCCAAAGUCCGCCCCGAAUUCCGACUUUUACCCCCAAAAAAAUUCCAAAUUCCAACCCCAAAGUCCACCGUAAAAUUCCAAAAUUUAACCUCAAAAUUCCCAAUUUUAACCCCAAAAUCCACCCCAAAAAGUGGGAAUUUUCACCUUUAAGUCCACCCAAAAAAUGGGAAAUUUUACCCCAAAGUUCACCCAAAAAAAAAGGGAAUUUCCACCUUAAAAUCCACCCCAAAAUUCCGAUUUCCCGCCCCCUUGGCCCCGCCCCUUUCCCAGGCCCCGCCCCCGUCUCUCACCUCCGCCAAUCACGUGCAGGGAGGGAGGGGCUUAACCCGGAAGUGCCGGCGCUGACUCCACCUCCGUUGAGGGCGGGGCUUCAGCCAUGGCCACGCCCCCCGCGAGGCUCCGCCCCCGCGGCUUUGGGGCUAAAUCCCCCAAAUUCGGGGCUAAAAAACCCCAAUUUUCUGCUGAACCCCCAAAUUUCGGGUCCGAAACCCCAAAAUUUGGGAACAAACCCCCCAAAACCUUUUAAAAUCACCCAGAUUUGAUUAAAAUUUCCCAAAAUCUCCUUAAAAUUCCCCAAUUUUGGAUUAGAACCCCCAAACCUCCUUAAAAUCCCCCAAUAUUGAGUCCAAACCCCCAAAUUUCAUUCAGAACCCCCAAUUUUGGGUCCAAACCCCCCAAAACCUUUUAAAAUCACCCAAAUUUGAUUAAGAUUUCCCAAACUUCUUUAAAAUCUCCCAAAUUCGGGUCGAAAACCCCAAAACCUCCUUAAAAUCCCCGAAAUUUGGGUCCAACCCCAAAACAUCCUUUAAAUCCC